GGCGUUGUAGCAAAGUGGUUACUGCGAUUGACUAGAAUUGCGCAGCUCAGCUGUGCCUCAAAUCAAUUCCCUUCGGGGGCGUAGGUUCGAAUCCUGCCAACGUCG
rfam:Sphaerulina musiva SO2202 unplaced genomic scaffold SEPMTscaffold_2, whole genome shotgun sequence.